AUUGAACGCUGGCGGCAGGCCUAACACAUGCAAGUCGAGCGGAUGAGAGGAGCUUGCUCUUCGAUUCAGCGGCGGACGGGUGAGUAAUGCCUAGGAAUCUGCCUAGUAGUGGGGGACAACGUUUCGAAAGGAACGCUAAUACCGCAUACGUCCUACGGGAGAAAGUGGGGGAUCUUCGGACCUCACGCUAUUAGAUGAGCCUAGGUCGGAUUAGCUAGUUGGUAGGGUAACGGCCUACCAAGGCGACAAUCCGUAACUGGUCUGAGAGGAUGAUCAGUCACACUGGAACUGAGACACGGUCCAGACUCCUACGGGAGGAAGCAGUGGGGAAUAUUAGACAAUGGGCGAAAGCCUGAUCCAGCCAUGCCGCGUGUGUGAAGAAGGCCCUCGGGUCGUAAAGCACUUUAAGUUGGGAGGAAGGGCUUACAGCGAAUACCUGUGAGUUUUGACGUUACCGACAGAAUAAGCACCGGCUAACUUCGUGCCAGCAGCCGCCGUAA
rnacentral:rRNA from 1 species